rnacentral:rRNA from 1 species
GAUGAACGCUGGCGGCGUGCCUAAUACAUGCAAGUCGAGCGGAGAAUUUAGCAAUAGAUUCUUAGCGGCGAACGGGUGAGUAACGCGUUGGUGACCUGCCUCGAAGUUUGGGAUAACAGUUCGAAAGGACUGCUAAUACCGGAUGUGAUCGCGGAGAUUAGAGGCUCUGUGAUUAAAGGAGAAAUUCGCUUCGAGAGGGGCCUGCGUCCCAUCAGCUAGUUGGUAAGGUAAAGGCUUACCAAGGCGAUGACGGGUAGGGGACCUGAGAGGGUGGCCCCCCACAAUGGAACUGAAACACGGUCCAUACACCUACGGUGGCAGCAGUAGGGAAUAUUGCAUAAUGGGCGAAAGCCUGAUGCAGCAAACGCCGCGUGUGCGAUGAAGGCCUUCGGGUCGUAAAGCACUUUUGGAGGGGAGUGAGGAAGGACAGUACCCUUCGAAUAAGCUUCGGCUAACUACGUGCCAGCAGCCGCGGUAAU